UACGGAAGGCAGCAGUGGGGAAUAUUGGACAAUGGGCGAAAGCCUGAUCCAGCCAUGCCGCAUGAGUGAAGAAGGCCUUCGGGUUGUAAAGCUCUUUUAGUGAGAAAGAUAAUGACGGUACUCACAGAAGAAGUCCUGGCUAACUCCGUGCCAGCAGCCGCGGUAAUACGGAGGGUGCGAGCGUUAAUCGGAAUUACUGGGCGUAAAGGGCACGCAGGCGGUUAAUUAAGUUGGAUGUGAAAUCCCCGGGCUUAACCUGGGAAUGGCAUUCAAGACUGGUUAGCUAGAGUCUUGUAGAGGGGGUUAGAAUUCCAUGUGUAGCGGUGAAAUGCGUAGAGAUGUGGAGGAAUACCGGUGGCGAAGGCGGCCCCUGGACAAAGCUGACGCUCAUGUGCGAAAGCGUGGGGAGCAAACAGGGAUUAGAUACC
rnacentral:rRNA from 1 species